rnacentral:tRNA from 1 species
AGCAAGGUCAGCUAAUUAAGCUCUUGGGCCCAUACCCCAAAUAUGUUGGUUAAACUCCUUCCUUUGCUA